GGGGAGGGCACCUGAAAUAAUCAGGAAAGUCCUAUUUUAUUCCUCUCUGUCUUCUAUUUAGUGAGCAGUAUCAGGAUCACUGAACCAACUUUUCCCUUUGCAUCUCAUACCCUUAAAAUAAUGGGUCAGCUAAAGCCUGAAAAGUCUGCAAUGAGGUUGCCCACCCAUGCCACAGAGAUGUCUUUUCUGAUCGAAACGUGUCCUGAGAAGAUUCUCUAGUCUCUGGUGAAGAAAAGAAAGACUCAAUGUGCUUGUGAAGAGACCCUAAUUUUGGUUGGGCUGCGCUGCAUAAAGUUGGCAUCCCGGUGUGGAUCCCCAUGGAAGCAUCUGGGGCGGACUGCGGCACCUGCCAGCUGGGCAGGCAUCAGGCCGGGAGGCCUGGGAGCGGCCAGAGAGACCCGGCAUGACUCGUGGCAAAGGGUGUGGAGGAGAGUGAGUGGUGGCCGGACAGCCUCCGCAGAAGGGAGAACCUCCAGGCAGCCCCACUGACCUGUGGGAGAGGCAGGCAAGGUCCCUGAAUCCGGCCCAUCAGCACCCUGGAAACUUCUCUGGGGCCCCACCCAAGUGCACAGCCCGCACCCUCAGUUCAGGACCAGACAUCAACCUCAAAACCGACCCUUUCCAUUGUGCAGGUGAAGUCUCUUCGACACGAACUGUCUCUUCUGUGAAGAUGAAAGAAUGGCUUUAAGUAUCCUUAAAAUCAUAUAAUGAAAAGCAGCGUCACACUGUGAAUGGCAUGUCAAUAUUCAAACACGGAAACUUACAACAGGGGUUACGGACCCUGGAUGGAGCGUGGGAGCUAAGCCCAGUCCAACCUGCAGCCUGGUCCUGAUAAUGUGCUUCGAGUCUAAAAUGCCUAUCUCAUUACUGGUUAGCAUUAUUUACCUAGGAGGCGAUAUGACCUCUAAUUUGCCUUUAAAUGAUUAAUUUGGUGUUUAAAUAAGUGCCUGUUACUUAAUAAUGUUUUCUUCAAC
rnacentral:lncRNA from 1 species